rnacentral:ncRNA from 1 species
GUUUCAUGGCGGCCCGUACCCUAAACCGACUCAGGUGGUCAGGUAGAGAAUACCGAGGCGUUCGGGUGAACUAUGGUUAAGGAACUCGGCAAAAUGCCCCCGUAACUUCGGGAGAAGGGGGGCCACAUCUGGUGAUGAGCUUCGCGCUCUGAGCUGGGGGUGCCGCAGAGACCAGCGAGAAGCGACUGUUUACAAAAACACAGGUCCGUGCGAAGCCGUAAGGCGAUGUAUACGGACUGACGCCUGCCCGGUGCUGGAACGUUAAGGGGACCGGUUAGCUCCAGUUUCGGUGGGGCGAAGCUGAGAACUUAAGCGCCAGUAACGGCGGUGGUAACUAUAACCAUC